rnacentral:lncRNA from 1 species
UGGUCAAUCCCAUCUUGACACAUGCACCGAUAAGUCAAGUACUUGACUACACCUAGCAGCCUUCCAUCACUGAAUUAGAAAUUCAGGUAGUCCAGUGCCUAAGUGCAGUGAGUUGCUUGCAAGUCACUGUGGCUGUCUCAGGUCGGAGGGAUAUUUAUACCCAUAUUCCAUCGGAGCAAAUCUUGACAGCAGAAAUAGCUCCGGAGUCGGUCACGUUCAGUGCAGAUGUACCCUUACAUCUCACCUAUAUGCCAUACCAGUGUCUCCACACUC